rnacentral:rRNA from 1 species
AACGAACGCUGGCGGCAGGCCUAACACAUGCAAGUCGAGCGCGCCUUCGGGUGAGCGGCGGACGGGUUAGUAACGCGUGGGAACGUGCCCUUCUCUACGGAAUAGCCUCUGGAAACGGAGAGUAAUACCGUAUACGCCCUUUGGGGGAAAGAUUUAUCGGAGAGGGAUCGGCCCGCGUUAGAUUAGGUAGUUGGUGGGGUAACGGCCUACCAAGCCUACGAUCUAUAGCUGGUUUUAGAGGAUGAUCAGCAACACUGGGACUGAGACACGGCCCAGACUCCUACGGGAGGCAGCAGUGGGGAAUCUUAGACAAUGGGGGCAACCCUGAUCUAGCCAUGCCGCGUGAGUGAUGAAGGCCUUAGGGUCGUAAAGCUCUUUCGCCUGUGAUGAUAAUGACAGUAGCAGGUAAAGAAACCCCGGCUAACUCCGUGCCAGCAGCCGCGGUAAUACGGAGGGGGUUAGCGUUGUUCGGAAUUACUGGGCGUAAAGCGCGCGUAGGCGGAUUAGAAAGUUGGGGGUGAAAUCCCGGGGCUCAACCUCGGAACUGCCUCCAAAACUGCUAGUCUAGAGUUCGAGAGAGGUGAGUGGAAUUCCGAGUGUAGAGGUGAAAUUCGUAGAUAUUCGGAGGAACACCAGUGGCGAAGGCGGCUCACUGGCUCGAUACUGACGCUGAGGUGCGAAAGUGUGGGGAGCAAACAGGAUUAGAUACCCUGGUAGUCCACACCGUAAACGAUGAAUGCCAGUCGUCGGGUAGUAUACUAUUCGGUGACACACCUAACGGAUUAAGCAUUCCGCCUGGGGAGUACGGUCGCAAGAUUA